GGACGACUAGCUCAUGGGUAGAGCACAAGACUGCGAAUCUUGGGGUCGCAGGUUCGAAUCCUGCGUCGUUGA
rnacentral:tRNA from 1 species